UGCCAACGAGAUCGGGAUAACACCUGGAAACAGAUGCUAAUACCGGAUAACAACAGAUGAUGCCUAUCAACUGUUUAAAAGAUGGUUCUGCUAUCACUCUUGGAUGGACCUGCGGUGCAUUAGCUAGUUGGUAGGGUAACGGCCUACCAAGGCGAUGAUGCAUAGCCGAGUUGAGAGACUGAUCGGCCACAUUGGGACUGAGACACGGCCCAAACUCCUACGGGAGGCAGCAGCC
rnacentral:rRNA from 1 species